CCUACGGGGGGCUGCAGUGGGGAAUUUUGCACAAUGGGGGAAACCCUGAUGCAGCAACGCCGCGUGGAGGAUGAAGUCCCUUGGGAUGUAAACUCCUUUCGAUCGGGACGAUUAUGACGGUACCGGAAGAAGAAGCACCGGCUAACUCUGUGCCAGCAGCCGCGGUAAUACAGAGGGUGCAAGCGUUGUUCGGAAUUAUUGGGCGUAAAGGGCGCGUAGGCGGUGCGGUAAGUCUCUCGUGAAAUCUCCGGGCUCAACUCGGAGCUUGCGGGAGGAACUGCCGUGCUUGAGUGUGGGAGAGGUGAGUGGAAUUCCUGGUGUAGCGGUGAAAUGCGUAGAUAUCAGGAGGAACACCUGUGGCGAAAGCGGCUCACUGGACCACUACUGACGCUGAGGCGCGAAAGCUAGGGGAGCAAACAGGAUUAGAUACCCUAGUAGUCC
rnacentral:rRNA from 1 species